AAUUGUUCGCAAUGGGCGCAAGCCUGACGACGCAACGCCGCGUGGAGGACGAAGAUCUUCGGGUCGUAAACUCCUUUCGAUCGGGAAGAACGGCUUCCGGGUGAAUAAUCCGGGAGAGUGACGGUACCGAGAAAAGAAGCCCCGGCUAACUCUGUGCCAGCAGCCGCGGUAAUACAGGGGGGGCAAGCGUUGUUCGGAAUUACUGGGCGUAAAGCGCGCGCAGGCGGGCUGGUCAGUCUGGGGUGAAAUCUCACGGCUCAACCGUGAGAGGUCCCUGGAUACUGCUAGCCUUGAGGGGCUCAGAGGAGAGUGGAAUUCCGGGUGUAGUGGUGGAAUGCGUAGAUAUCCGGAGGAACACCAGUGGCGAAAGCGGCUCUCUGGGGGCAACCUGACGCUGAGGCGCGAAAGCGUGGGGAGCGAAC
rnacentral:rRNA from 1 species